rnacentral:rRNA from 1 species
GACGAACGCUGGCGGCGUGCCUAACACAUGCAAGUCGAACGAGAUCCAUGGGAGCUUGCUCCCGGAAGAUCUAGUGGCGAACGGGUGAGUAACACGUGAGAAACCUGCCCUGGAGUGGGGAAUAACUCGGGGAAACUCGAGCUAAUACCGCAUACCCUCGGAUGGUCGCAUGGCCGACCGAGGAAAGAUUUAUCGCUCUAGGAGGGUCUCGCGGCCUAUCAGCUAGUUGGUGGGGUAACGCCUACCAAGGCAACGACGGGUAGCUGGUUUGAGAGAACGAUCAGCCACACUGGGACUGAGACACGGCCCAGACUCCUACGGGAGGCAGCAGUGGGGAAUCUUGCGCAAUGGGCGAAAGCCUGACGCAGCAACGCCGCGUGCGGGAUGACGGCCUUCGUGGUUGUAAACCGCUUUCAGCAGGACGAAAAUAGACGGUACCUGCAGAAGAAGACCCCGGCUAACUACGUGCCAGCAGCCGCGGUAAU